CGCAUCCCCGCGCACCGUAGAGGCGGCGGCGAGCGAGAGCCCGCGUCGCGGCUCCGGGCCGCAGAAGGGCUGGGGAGCUCGCACGCGAGAGGACCUGGCCCGGGCUCGGCGGGCAGCGCCGGGCGCGGCUGGCACUAUUAACUUGCAGUUUUAUUGUCAUGAUUAACGACUGUGAAGUAAUCGGCACAUUUCCUGUUGCACCAAGGAUUUCUGCAUAAACUGCUUUAAGAGUUGCUGAUCCAAAAAGGAAGUUAUCCUCCCUGAAACUCGAUCCAGACCAAGAUUUGGUGAUUUGCUUACCUACCAUGUAGCUCCUCCCCUGAGUUUCAUGUUAUUAUGAUUAUAAUAAUAAGGGCACAGGCAAUGUGAUCAAUUUAGCCGUAUUGCUGGAUAGUUUAUAUCACUGCAGGAGGUAUAUGUUGAUUCACCCUGCAAUGAUUCCUCAUAGUAUAGCUUAGAAGCUUAGAAGUCAGGAGAUUGACUUUUGUUUCAAAUUUUAGUUAAUUACUUUAUUAUCCAUCCCUGAUAUUAUAGCUUAAUGGCCCUUUGGAAGAUUGAAAAGAUUACAAAUGCAGUGAUGCCCAAUCCUUGUUCAUUGUACAAUUUUGUCUCAGAGUACUGCUCUAUAAUUUUAAUAAAUUAAAGUAGAAACACCUCCUUAAUGUUAAGGAAUAUGCCAGGGCUGAGAAGGCCAGGUUGAGCAGAACAAGGUCCUAGCCUUUGAAGAGCAAGGGGUUCAUGUUGGGUAGGUAAACAAUUGCAAAACUAUGUGACUAAAGCUACUGUAGCAGUAUGAAUCAAGUAGAAACAUGCUCAGAGGUAGCUGUAAGUAAUCCUAAAAUCAGGGAUGGUUUCUCAGAGGAGGUGAUCUUAGUACUACAUCUUGAAAGACAACCACUAGUUUGCCAGGCAAAGGGGAAAGUGUCCUAGGAAGAAGAAAGAGACUUAAAGUGUGGGAUAUGUUUAGGGAACUAUCAUUAAUUCAACAUAAUGUAGUAAGUACAGUAUGGACCAGUAGCAGGAGAUAGGAAACAGAUUCAGAAGUGCCUUGAAUAUCAUGCUAAACAACUUGGAGUUGAUUAAUGGUUUUGAAUUGGGGAAGUAAUAGAGUCUUAUUUUUAUAGUUGUGUACUGGGUGCAAGCUCAUGACCCUCAGAGCAUAUGCAUCUCCCUCUAAAACACAGAGGUAACAGACAUUAGGGGAAAUAGAGGAAGGGCUGAACUCAUGUUUUUGAGUGGGUAAAUUUUUAGAUUGUUUGACUGGGUGGUUGCCUUCUAAGAGAUAGGUCAGAUAGGGAUGGAAAAAUAUGACUAAUGAAGAUUUAUUGAUUGUGAAUUAGGGUGUGAAACUAAGGAGAUGUUGAGACUGAAGAUGUCAAUAUGGGUGUAACUGCAGAUAAGAAUUGAAGGCCCUUUCUAGAAAUUGCUAUACUUAGAGUUUUGUGUUAAAUUUUGAUAGGAAUAGGUUUGCCAUAAGAAUCAUGU